rnacentral:rRNA from 1 species
CCUACGGGCGGCAGCAGUGAGGAAUAUUGGUCAAUGGGCGGAAGCCUGAACCAGCCAAGUCGCGUGAGGGAUUAAGGCCCUGCGGGUCGUAAACCUCUUUUGCCGGGGAGUAGAGGUCCGGACGUGUCCGGGCCGGGAGAGUACCCGGAGAAAAAGCAUCGUCUAACUCCGUGCCAGCAGCAGCGGUAAUACGGAGGAUGCGAGCGUUAUCCGGAUUUAUUGGGUUUAAAGGGUGCGUAGCGGGGCAUUAAAGCCGGCGGGCAAAUGCCGGGGCUCAACCCCGGCCUGACGUUGGAACUGGGUGCCUUGAGUGGGCGAGAGGUAGGCGGAAUGCGUGGUGUAGCGGUGAAAUGCAUAGAUAUCACGCAGAACCCCGAUUGCGAAGGCAGCAUACCGGGGCCCUACUGACGCUGAGGCACGAAAGUGCGGGUAUCGAACAGGAUUAGAUACCCUGGUAGUC